UGGAAAUUGAAACGAAUGUAGUGAUGCUCUGAUAGUAUUGUGAUUGGUAGUUGGAAGAGUAAUGUGAUUGGUAGUGAGGAUGGUGAGUGAUGAUUGGUGCAUUUGGAUUUCCAGAUUUCAAUUUUACGCUUGGUGAGUGAAGUUCCCACUGGGUUGCAAGAUGAGAGAGAAGAAGUGUGUAGUUAAGGUUUUCUGUUGAGUAAUCGCUUUAAAGGAAUAGGUAGAGGGUGGCAACAGUUGAGAUGAUUUCCGCAACAUUCGAGCAAUGAUGG